rnacentral:rRNA from 1 species
CCUACGGGAGGCAGCAGUGAGGAAUAUUGGACAAUGGUCGGAAGACUGAUCCAGCCAUGCCGCGUGCAGGAUGACGGCCCUAUGGGUUGUAAACUGCUUUUGUACGGGAAGAAACCCAGGUACGCGUACCUGGUUGACGGUACCGUAAGAAUAAGGACCGGCUAACUCCGUGCCAGCAGCCGCGGUAAUACGGAGGGUCCGAGCGUUAUCCGGAAUCAUUGGGUUUAAAGGGUCCGUAGGCGGGCCUGUAAGUCAGAGGUGAAAGGCCACGGCUCAACCGUGGGACUGCCUUUGAUACUGCAGGUCUUGAGUCAUGGUGGGGUUGCCGGAACAUGUGGUGUAGCGGUGAAAUGCAUAGAUAUCACAUAGAACACCGAUCGCGAAGGCAGGUGGCCAACCAUGAACUGACGCUGAUGGACGAAAGCGUGGGGAGCGAACGGGAUUAGAUACCCCGGUAGUCCACGCCGUAAACGAUGGACACUAGCUGUGGGGACUUCGGUCUCCGUGGCCAAGCGAAAGUGAUAAGUGUCCCACCUGGGGAGUACGUUCGCAAGAAUGAAACUCAAAGGAAUUGACGGGG